AUUGAACGCUGGCGGCAUGCCUUACACAUGCAAGUCGAACGGCAGCACGGGAGCAAUCCUGGUGGCGAGUGGCGAACGGGUGAGUAAUAUAUCGGAACGUGCCCAGUCGUGGGGGAUAACGUAGCGAAAGCUACGCUAAUACCGCAUACGAUCUACGGAUGAAAGCGGGGGAUCGCAAGACCUCGCGCGAUUGGAGCGGCCGAUAUCAGAUUAGGUAGUUGGUGGGGUAAAGGCCCACCAAGCCGACGAUCUGUAGCUGGUCUGAGAGGACGACCAGCAACACUGGGACUGAGAAACGGACCAGACUCAUACGGGAGGCAGCAGUGGGGAAUUUUGGACAAUGGGCGCAAGCCUGAUCCAGCAAUGCCGCGUGCAGGAUGAAGGCCUUCGGGUUGUAAACUGCUUUUGUACGGAACGAAACGGCGAGCUCUAAUACAGUUUGCUAAUGACGGUACCGUAAGAAUAAGCACCGGCUAACUACGUGCCAGCCGCCGCCGUAA
rnacentral:rRNA from 1 species